GAUGAACGCUGGCGGCGUGCCUAACACAUGCAAGUCGAGCGAACAGAUCAGGACCUUGCUCCUCUGACGUUAGCGGCGGACGGGAGAGUAACUUGUGGUUAACCUACCUCUACGACUGGGAUAAUAUUAGCAAACCGUAGCUACUACCCGAUAAUAUAUCGACCUGCAUUGUUCAAUAGUUAAAUACGCUAUUUCUUUCGCUAAUAGAUGGAUCCGCGCCGCAUUAGCUAGUUGGUAAGGUAACGGCUUACCAAGGCAACGAUGCGUAGCCGACCUGAAAGGGAGAUCGGACAGACGGGAAGUGAGACACGGUCCAGACUCCUACGGGAGGCAGCAGUAGGGAAUCUUACGGGAUGGGCGAGUGCCUGACGGAGCAACGCGGCGUGAGUGAUGAAGGUCUUCGGAUCGGAGAGCUCUGUUAUUAGGAGAGAAGAAAUGUGUAAGUAACUGUGCACGUCUUGACGGUACCGGGACAGAAAGCCACGGCUAACUACGUG
rnacentral:rRNA from 1 species